rnacentral:rRNA from 1 species
GGCUCAGAUUGAACGCUGGCGGCAUGCUUUACACAUGCAAGUCGAACGGCAGCACGAAAGAGCUUGCUCUUUUGGUGGCGAGUGGCGAACGGGUGAGUAAUACAUUGGAACGUACCGAGUAAUGGGGGAUAACUGUCCGAAAGGAUGGCUAAUACCGCAUACGCUCUGAGGAGGAAAGCGGGGGACCUUCGGGCCUCGCGUUAUUCGAGCGGCCAAUGUCUGAUUAGCUAGUUGGUGGGGUAAAGGCCUACCAAGGCGACGAUCAGUAGUGGGUCUGAGAGGAUGAUCCGCCACACUGGGACUGAGACACGGCCCAGACUCCUACGGGAGGCAGCAGUGGGGAAUUUUGGACAAUGGGCGAAAGCCUGAUCCAGCCAUGCCGCGUGUCUGAAGAAGGCCUUCGGGUUGUAAAGGACUUUUGUCAGGGAAGAAAGGGUUUGGGUUAAUACCCUGAGCUUAUGACGGUACC